rnacentral:rRNA from 1 species
UACGAAGGGGGCGAGCGUUGUUCGGAUUUACUGGGCGUAAAGGGCGCGCAGGCGGCUCAUUUUGUCAGGCGUGAAAGCCCCGGGCUUAACCUGGGAACUGCGUUUGAUACGGAUGGGCUAGAGUUCGGGAGAGGAGAGUUGAAUUCCCAGUGUAGAGGUGAAAUUCGUAGAUAUUGGGAAGAACACCGGUGGCGAAGGCGGCUCUCUGGACCGAGACUGACGCUGAGGCGCGAAAGCGUGGGGAGCAAACAGG